AUUAUUUUUUAUUUUUUUAUAGGCCAUAUUUCAAUAUUAGAUUAAAAGCAGAAGUUAUAUUUUUAAACUCGUUAGCACUUAUGUGUGCAGGAGGACUAAUUUUUUUGUUUAUUUAUGUAAAAAAGAAAAAAAAAAAAAAAAAAAUAAAAUAAAUAAUCAAAUAUAUAUAACUUAAAAUGAUCAAUAUAUACAAAUACAAAAAUAAAUGGAUAUGUUUUUGAUAAAAAUAAAAUAAGCAUAAAAAUAUAUGUGUAUAUGUAAGUAUGUUUUUUAUACUAUUUAUAAUAAUAACAGUUUUAUGAAAGUAGGCUCAUUUAAUUUUUUUUUUUUUUACUUUAUUUAUGUGAAACAUUUUACAGAUGCAUAGAAUAGACAGGAAAUUAUUACCUAAAAAUAUUAUAAAAUAUUUACUCAAUAGAUAUCAUAUGGACUCGUGCGAACAAAACAUAAACCAGAUUACUCCUUAUUAUAAAUUAUUAAAACAACAAUCACUUUACCCUUCAAAAAUAAAUUAUUUCCUUUAUAAAACCACAUUCCCGAAUAAACACGAACAAUUAUUCCUAUUUUGGGGCAAUGGACCAGCUAUACUAAAUUUUAUUUUUCAAACACUAUGUUUUUGUUUCUUAAUCAUAUUGUCUUGCUGGAUGUUUUUAUUAAAAGUAGAUAAUAUAACAUGGUUACAAUUAUAUAAAUACGGUAGUUUAAUUAUAUGUGGAUGUAUAUUAUUUUUUACAUUUAUAUUAAAAUAUAUUGUGUAUUAUUUUAUAAUGAUAAGUAAAACGGGUUAUUUAAUUGACACGAAGUUGUUAGAAAAGGUAUGGGAAUUUGAAAGAUCAGAUAACAUAAAGAGAAUAUCCGAAUUUAUUGAUGCUAUAAAAAUAAAGUCCACCUUACAUGCACUUAAAGAAGGAGGGGAUGUAUUUUGGAGACAGUUGUUAAUAAAAUCAAGCACAGUGCCAUCAAAUAUACAGGAAAAAAUGUUUUCCAUAUGGGUUAGUUUAGAUGAGGAAAAUAGAGGUGUUAUUGAUUCUGUAAAAAUAUUAAAAUUUUUAAAAUCUCAGGGAAUUAAUUUGAAUUCAGAAAAUGAUGUUAAAGAAUUCUUGGAAGUAUUUGAUAGAAAUAACAAAAAAGGUUUAAAUCAGGAAGAGUUUUUUGUUCUUAUUAUUAUAGUUAAACAAAUUCUUGUAGAACUUUUAGAUAUUAAUGCUGUUCAGUCUUUAUUCGAAGAAGUGUACUGCAUACCAUGGAAUUCGAUGUCGUCAAUUGACGUUAACAGUUUAAAAAAAAUAUUAUCCGAAGUAAGAAAAAGGAAAAAUUAUAGAAGCAACAUAUUAAUUAAACUUUACAA
rnacentral:lncRNA from 1 species